rnacentral:rRNA from 1 species
UGGUGGAGUGAUUUGUCUGGUUGAUUCCGUUAACGAACGAGAUCUCUGCCACUAGUUGGUUGGGGCAUCGCUCCGUAGGCCUGCCCGGCGAGGGCAACCUCGCCCGGGGAUGCCGAGAUGCCCCUCAACCCCUUAGUGGGACCUUGCGUUACAAACGCAAGGAAGCAAGAGGCCAAAACA